GGGGGCACCCUGGCGGCGAGCGGCGAACGGGUGAGUAAUACAUCGGAACGUGCCCAGUGGUGGGGGAUAGCCCGGCGAAAGCCGGAUUAAUACCGCAUACGACCUGAGGGUGAAAGGGGGGGAUCGCAAGACCUCUCGCCGUUGGAGCGGCCGAUGUCGGAUUAGCUAGUUGGUAGGGUAAAGGCCUACCAAGGCGACGAUCCGUAGCUGGUCUGAGAGGAUGAUCAGCCACACUGGGACUGAGACACGGCCCAGACUCCUACGGGAGGCAGCAGUGGGGAAUUUUGGACAAUGGGGGCAACCCUGAUCCAGCCAUUCCGCGUGAGUGAAGAAGGCCUUCGGGUUGUAAAGCUCUUUCGGCAGGAACGAAACGGUGGGCUCUAACAUAGCCUGCUAAUGACGGUACCUGAAGAAGAAGCACCGGCUAACUACGUGCCAGCAGCCGCGGUAAUACGUAGGGUGCGAGCGUUAAUCGGAAUUACUGGGCGUAAAGCGUGCGCAGGCGGUUUCGUAAGACAGAUGUGAAAUCCCCGGGCUUAACCUGGGAACUGCGUUUGUGACUGCGAGACUAGAGUGUGGCAGAGGGGGGUGGAAUUCCACGUGUAGCAGUGAAAUGCGUAGAGAUGUGGAGGAACACCGAUGGCGAAGGCAGCCCCCUGGGUUAACACUGACGCUCACGCACGAAAGCGUGGGUAGCAAACAGGAUUAGAUACCCUGGUAGUCCACGCCCUAAACGAUGCCAACUAGGUGUUGGGGGAAGGAGACUUCCUUAGUACCGUAGCUAACGCGUGAAGUUGGCCGCCUGGGGGAGUACGGUCGCAAGAUUAAAACUCAAAGGAAUUGACGGGGACCCGCACAAGCGGUGGAUGAAGGUGGAUUAAUUCGAUGC
rnacentral:rRNA from 1 species